rnacentral:rRNA from 1 species
AUUGAACGCUGGCGGCAGGCCUAACACAUGCAAGUCGAACGAGUGGCGGACGGGUGAGUAAUGUCUGGGAAACUGCCUGAUGGCGGGGGAUAACUACUGGAAACGGUAGCUAAUCCCGCCUACCAUCGGCUGUGCCCAGAUGGGAUUCGCUAGUAGGUGGGGUAAAGGCUCACCUAGGCGACGAUCCCUAGCUGGUCUGAGAGGAUGACCAGCCAAACUGGAAUUGAGAAACGGUCCGGCCUCCUACGGGAGGCAGCAGUGGGGAAUAUUUCACAAGGGGCGCAAGCCUGAUGCAGCCAUGACGCGUGUAUUAAGAAGGCCCUAGGGUUGUAAAGUACUGUCAGUCGGGAGGCGUUACCGACAGAAGAAGCACCGGCUAACUCCGUGCCAGCAGCCGCGGUAAUUC